CGCGUAGGCAACCUGCCCUCCGGCCGGGGACAACACUCCGAAAGGGGUGCUAAUACCGGAUACGAAGUCUGUGCCGCAUGGUACGGAUUUGAAAGAUGGCCUCUAUUUAUAAGCUAUCGCCGGGGGAUGGGCCUGCGUCCGAUUAGCUGGUUGGUGGGGUAACGGCCUACCAAGGCGACGAUCGGUAGCCGGUCUGAGAGGAUGAACGGCCACAUUGGGACUGAGACACGGCCCAGACUCCUACGGGAGGCAGCAGUGGGGAAUCUUCCGCAAUGGGCGCAAGCCUGACGGAGCAACGCCGCGUGAGUGAGGAAGUUCUUCGGAACGUAAAGCUCUGUUGUUCCUGACGAACCUCCCCUCUAUGAACAACGGAGGGGACUGACGGUAGGGAACGAGGAAGCCACGGCUAACUACGUGCCAGCCGCCGC
rnacentral:rRNA from 1 species